rnacentral:rRNA from 1 species
UACGUAGGGUGCAAGCGUUGUCCGGAAUUAUUGGGCGUAAAGAGCUCGUAGGCGGUUUUGUCGCGUCUGCUGUGAAAUCCCGAGGCUCAACCUCGGGCCUGCAGUGGGUACGGGCAGACUAGAGUGCGGUAGGGGAGAUUGGAAUUCCUGGUGUAGCGGUGGAAUGCGCAGAUAUCAGGAGGAACACCGAUGGCGAAGGCAGAUCUCUGGGCCGUAACUGACGCUGAGGAGCGAAAGCGUGGGGAGCGAACAGG